AUCAGUUGUAAUCCUCAAUGGGGGAGAGUUUGUUUCCUACAAGACACAACACGUGUGCAUUUCUAGACGUCUUUGAAAAGUGACUCAGAAGCACUCUGAAACCCCCCAACUCAGAGCACCCUUUCCCAGCCACGAGCAGAGCAACAGCCCCUUACCUUUUUGGAGUCCUGGAGGAGACGAGGUACUGUGGACUGGAGCCCUGGAGGAGACGAGGUACUGUGGACUGGAGCCCUGGAGGAGACGAGGUACUGUGGACUGUGUGGAGCUAAAGAAUAGAGCUGCUACUCCCUCGAGACAGUGAGAAAGUGAACCAGAUACAGAGCUGUGAAACCCUGUCUGCAGAUGAAGAGCAAUGGUUCCCAGUCCUGUUCCUGGGGUCUCAAAGGGAUGCCUUGCAACUGGAGAUUUCUUAAACGAUUGCCUACAGUUACUGUGUAGGGCACUGCACAGUUGGGUGACCAGGGCCAUCUGGGACUGUCUCGUGGGGGAUUUCAGGCAUCUGUGAAGACUACCUGUGUCCUGCAUAACUUCAUGAUGAUGAACAGGAGGGGACCUGCAGCGCUCCGCCGUGUGCCAGAGGAGAGGUCUGCUGCUCUGCAGGAUGUUGCCAGGAUGGGGGCCAACAACGCAGCACAGUAGGCAAUCCGUGUGCAGGAGACCUUCACCUCCUACUUCUUCACAAAGGAUGCUGUUCCCUGGCAACACCAUAGACUACACUAUGCACAACCAAAGGCUCUUUUAAGAGCCAUCCACAUUGCAAUAAGAGUAUUCUUCAAUUUACUUAGCUAUGUCAACUGCAGUUAUUCAAUUUCCAGUUUCUCUUCCUUUGAUUUCUACUUUGCGGGUGAGGGUGCUAUUUAGGUAGGAGUGGUGUCUGUACAAAAACAAAACAGACUCUCACCCAUUUUGAAAACAUUUAGAACAAUUAGACACCCUAUAAGCCACACCUACACACUUGUCUACUGCUAUAAAGAAUAGUUAACACACCUCACACAGGCCUUUUUUUUCAGGUGAAUACGUUUUAGAAAAAAAUAUUAAAGUGUGUGUUUCUGGAAAAAAGGGC